CAAAGGAGAGGCGAGCGGGGGGGGUAGGUAGUGGGGUGCGAGCGUUAUACGGAAUUAAUGGGCGGAAAGCGUGCGCAGGCGGGUAGUUAAGUCAGGUGUGAAAACCCCGGGCUUGAGCUGGGAAUGGCGCUUGAUACUGGAUAGCUUGGAGUGCGGCAGAGGGAGGUGUAAUUCCACGUGUAGCAGUGAAAUGCGUAGAGAUGUGGAGGAACACCGAUGGCGAAGGCAGCCUCCUGGGCCAGCACUGACGCUCAUGCACGAAAGCGUGGGGAGCAAACAGGAUUAGAUAUCCGUGUAGUC
rnacentral:rRNA from 1 species